GACGAACGCUGGCGGCGUGCCUAAUACAUGCAAGUCGAACGCUUUUUUCAAUCAUCGUAGCUUGCUACACCGAUUGAAAAUUGAGUGGCGAACGGGUGAGUAACACGUGGGUAACCUGCCCAAAAGAGGGGGAUAACACUUGGAAACAGGUGCUAAUACCGCAUAACCAURAUGACCGCAUGGUCAUUAUGAAAAAGAUGGUUUCGGCUAUCACUUUUGGAUGGACCCGCGGCGUAUUAACUUGUUGGUGGGGUAACGGCCUACCAAGGUAAUGAUACGUAGCCGAACUGAGAGGUUGAUCGGCCACAUUGGGACUGAGACACGGCCCAAACUCCUACGGGAGGCAGCAGUAGGGAAUCUUCCACAAUGGGCGCAAGCCUGAUGGAGCAACGCCGCGUGAGUGAAGAAGGUCUUCGGAUCGUAAAACUCUGUUGUUAGAGAAGAACAUGCAGGAGAGUAACUGUUCUUGUAUUGACGGUAUCUAACCAGAAAGCCACGGCUAACUACGUGCCAGCAGCCGCGGUAAUACGUAGGUGGCAAGCGUUGUCCGGAUUUAUUGGGCGUAAAGGGAACGCAGGCGGUCCUUUAAGUCUGAUGUGAAAGCCUUCGGCUUAACCGAAGAAUUGCAUUGGAAACUGGAGGACUUGAGUGCAGAAGAGGAGAGUGGAACUCCAUGUGUAGCGGUGAAAUGCGUAGAUAUAUGGAAGAACACCAGUGGCGAAAGCGGCUCUCUGGUCUGUAACUGACGCUGAGGUUCGAAAGUGUGGGUAGCAAACAGGAUUAGAUACCCUGGUAGUCCACACCGUAAACGAUGAAUGCUAAGUGUUGGAGGGUUUCCGCCCUUCAGUGCUGCAGCUAACGCAAUAAGCAUUCCGCCUGGGGAGUACGACCGCAAGGUUGAAACUCAAAGGAAUUGACGGGGGCCCGCACAAGCGGUGGAGCAUGUGGUUUAAUUCGAAGCAACGCGAAGAACCUUACCAGGUCUUGACAUCUUUUGACCAUCUUAGAGAUAAGAUUUUCCCUUCGGGGACAAAAUGACAG
rnacentral:rRNA from 2 species